rnacentral:rRNA from 1 species
GAUGAACGCUGGCGGCGUGCCUAAUACAUGCAAGUCGAGCGAACAGACGAGGAGCUUGCUCCUCUGACGUUGGCGGCGGACGGGUGAGUAACACGUGGAUAACCUACCUAUAAGACUGGGAUAACUUCGGGAAACCGGAGCUAAUACCGGAUAAUAUAUUGAACCGCAUGGUUCAAUAGUGAAAGACGGUUUUGCUGUCACUUAUAGAUGGAUCCGCGCCGCAUUAGCUAGUUGGUAAGGUAACGGCUUACCAAGGCGACGAUGCGUAGCCGACCUGAGAGGGUGAUCGGCCACACUGGAACUGAGACACGGUCCAGACUCCUACGGGAGGCAGCAGUAGGGAAUCUUCCGCAAUGGGCGAAAGCCUGACGGAGCAACGCCGCGUGAGUGAUGAAGGUCUUCGGAUCGUAAAACUCUGUUAUUAGGGAAGAACACAUGUGUAAGUAACUAUGCACGUCUUGACGGUACCUAAUCAGAAAGCCACGGCUAACUACGUG